rnacentral:rRNA from 1 species
GUAGGGAAUAUUGGACAAUGGGGGGAACCCUGAUCCAGCCAUGCCGCGUGGAGGAAGACUGCCCUCUGGGUUGUAAACUCCUUUUAUAUGGGAAGAACCGUCCUCAUUAAUGAGUGACCUGACGGUACCAUAGGAAUAAGCACCGGCUAACUCCGUGCCAGCAGCCGCGGUAAUACGGAGGGUGCAAGCGUUAUCCGGAUUCACUGGGUUUAAAGGGUGCGUAGGCGGAUAAAUAAGUCAGUGGUGAAAUCAACGGGCUCAACCUGUUAACUGCCAUUGAUACUGUGUAUCUUGAAUAUGAGAGAGGUAGGCGGAAUGUUGCAUGUAGCGGUGAAAUGCUUAGAUAUGCUACGGAACACCGAUUGCGAAGGCAGCUUACUAUUUCGUAAUUGACGCUGAGGCACGAAAGCGUGGGUAGCGAACAGGAUUAGAUACCCCAGUAGUCC